rnacentral:rRNA from 1 species
UACGUAGGGGGCGAGCGUUGUCCGGAAUUAUUGGGCGUAAAGAGCGUGUAGGCGGUUCGGUAAGUCUGCCGUGAAAACCUGGGGCUCAACCCCGGGCGUGCGGUGGAUACUGCCGGGCUAGAGGGUGGUAGAGGCGAGUGGAAUUCCCGGUGUAGCGGUGAAAUGCGCAGAUAUCGGGAGGAACACCAGUGGCGAAGGCGGCCUUCUGGACAGUGACUGACGCUGAGACGCGAAAGCGUGGGGAGCAAACAGG